GACGAACGCUGGCGGCGUGCCUAAUACAUGCAAGUUGAGCGAUGAAGAUUGGUGCUUGCACCAAUUUGAAGAGCAGCGAACGGGUGAGUAACGCGUGGGGAAUCUGCCUUUGAGCGGGGGACAACAUUUGGAAACGAAUGCUAAUACCGCAUAACAACUUUAAACAUAAGUUUUAAGUUUGAAAGAUGCAAUUGCAUCACUCAAAGAUGAUCCCGCGUUGUAUUAGCUAGUUGGUGAGGUAAAGGCUCACCAAGGCGAUGAUACAUAGCCGACCUGAGAGGGUGGUCGGCCACAUUGGGACGGAGACACGGCCCAAACGGCUAGGGGAGGCAGCAGUAGGGAAUCUUCGGGAAGGGACGGAAGACUUACCGAGAAGCGCCGAGGGAGGGAAGAAGGAUGUCGGAUCGGAAAACUCGGUUGGUAGGGAAGAAAGUUGGUGAGAGUGGAAAGCACAUCGAGUGACGGUAACUAGCCAGAAAGGGACGGCUAACUACGUG
rnacentral:rRNA from 1 species